CAAGGACACAGACAGUGACAGGCAGUGGGUUCCUGCCUCCUGAGAGGCAGCGUGCCUGGACACCAGGAGGACUUCUUGGAGGAGAUAACAUUCCAUCAUACACCUUUCCCAAUUUGGAACCAGUCCUGAAUAUUCAUUGGAAGGACUGAUGCUGAAGCUGAAACUCCAAUACCUUGGCCACCUGAUGUGAAGAAUUGACUCGUUUGAAAAGACCCUGAUGCUGGGAAAGAUUGAAGGCAGGAGAAGGGAAUGACAGAGGAUGAGACGGUUGGAUGGCAUCACCGACUCAAUGGACAUGGGUUUGAGUAAACUGUGGGAAUUGGUGAUGGACUGGGAGGCCUGGCAUGCUGCAGUCCAUGGGGUCGCAAAGAGUCAGACACGACUGAGUGGCUGAACUGAACUGAAUAUUCCAUCAUAUGGAUAGAUCAUGUUUCAUUACCUGCUCAUCUGUGGUUGCACAGUUGGGCUGCUUCCAUCUUUUGGACUGUUGUGAAUAAUGCUGAACACUGGUAUACAAGUAUCUGAUUCUUGCUUUCGGUUCUCUGGGUACCUAGGAGUGCUGGGUCACCUGGCAAUUCAUGUCUCACCAUCUGAGGAACGGCCAAACUGUUUUCCAUAGCAGAUGCAUGAUUGAGGACUAUUUAAAAAUUUUAUCUUCAAUAUUGUUAAGAUGUCAAUACUGGAAAAAAAAAGAAUGUUGGACUUGCCUGGUGGUCCAGUGGUCAAGAAGCCUCCUGCUGAUGCAGGGCGCGUGGGUUCCAUCCCCUGUUCCGGGAAGACUCCACGUGCGGCGGGAUAACUGAGGCUGUGUGCCUACAGCCUGUGCUCUGUAACAGGAGAAGCCACUGCAAUGAGAAGCCCGUGUGUGGCAACUAGAGAGGAGCCCCCACUGGCCACGGCGGGAGAAAGCCUACAUGCAGCGACAAAGACCCAGUGAGGGCAAAAAUAACUAGCCAAGAAAAUAAACAUUUUAAGAAGUCAACGCUACCUAAAGUGAUUCACAGAUUCAAUGGGAUCCCCACAAAAAUCCCAAUGACAUUUAUUGUGGAAAUAGAAAAAAAUCCUAAAAUUCAUGCAGAAUCUCAAGGGACC
ensembl:lncRNA